rnacentral:tRNA from 1 species
GCCCACUUAGCUCAGAGGUUAGAGCAUCGCAUUU